GAGCUUUUGGUCCGGGUUAUAC
rnacentral:miRNA from 15 species